ensembl:misc_RNA Metazoa_SRP Metazoan signal recognition particle RNA
GCUGGGUGUGGUGGUGCGCGCCUGUAAUCCCAGCUACUCGGGAAGUUGAGGCAGGAGAAUUGCUUGAACCCAGGAGGUGGAGGGUGCAGUGAGCUGAGAUCGUGCCACUGCACUCCAGCCUGGGCGACAGAGCAAGACUCUGUCUCAA